rnacentral:rRNA from 1 species
UUGGGGAUUUUGCACAAUGGACGCAAGUCUGAUGCAGCAACACUGCGUGAAGGAUGAAGGUUUUCGGACUGUAAACUUCUUUCAUCAGGGAAUAAUCUUGAAGGUACCUAAUGAAUAAGCACCGGCUAACUACGUGCCAGCAGCCGCGGUAAUACGUAGGGUGCAAACGUUAUCCGGAUUUAUUGGGCGUAAAGAGCUCGUAGGCGGAAUUGUAAGUUGGAUAUUAAAGACCCAGGCUCAACUUGGGGAAAGUAUCCAAAACUGCAAAUCUAGAGUGAUGCAGGGGAGAACGGAACUUACGGUGUAGCGGUGGAAUGCGUAGAUAUCGUAAGGAACGCCAAUGGUGAAGACAGUUCUCUGGGCAUUUUCUGACGCUGAGGAGCGAAAGCGUGGGUAGCGAUCGG